rnacentral:rRNA from 1 species
UACGUAGGGGGCAAGCGUUUGUCCGGAUUUAUUGGGCGUAAAGAGCUUGUAGGCGGUUUGUCGCGUCUGCUGUGAAAUUUCGGGGCUCAACCCCGAACUUGCAGUGGGUACGGGCAGACUAGAGUGUGGUAGGGGAGACUGGAAUUCCUGGUGUAGCGGUGAAAUGCGCAGAUAUCAGGAGGAACACCGAUGGCGAAGGCAGGUCUCUGGGCCAUAACUGACGCUGAGAAGCGAAAGCAUGGGGAGCGAACAGG